GAUGGGAAGGAUUAGGGUCAGAUGGAUGUUGGUUGGUCUCAACUGACAAUUAUUCCUCUCCCUGGAGCAGUGAGGUAGAAGACUCCAGCGGUCUUGGCUUCCAAAUUCCCUGUAUGAAACAUCCAGGGUGCCGUGGCAUUCCUUUUUGGAGCAUAUGCGCAGACCAAAGACAAUCAUUAUAGUGGUGGUGUUUUGGUGAUAUUGGUAUGGGAGCAUUGUAGAGUUUCGUUUCUAAUUGCCUGGUGGUGCCCAGUGCAAAACCACAUGAAUAUCUCCUAGUCCUUGCUAUCUGAAUUAGGGCUGUCCUUCAUUUGAUGUCCCAAAAAAUAUGGGAAAAGGAUAAAUAAAAAAAGGGAAUCAAGAGAUGAAGGAUGAUCAUUCUUCAAUUAAAUGUAGCACAUCAAUCAUUAGUCUCAUCCACAUGUUAACUAUUUGUUCACGCUACUCUGACAGCAAAAAGUUGUUGCAUGAACUUGGUAAGUCUUCUCGUGCAUAUGGAGAUCACUUGGAGCUAUGGAUUCUGUGCACUUCCUGUGACAUUUAUCAGAGGCUGCUCUUGAUAAAACCACAUUUCAAAGAUUUGUUCCUCGUAGCCUCUCAAAGGUUCUGUGCUUAGGUUUUAGGGGGCUUGGUUGUUCAUACCCAUGUAGAUUUGCUCACUUUGGCUUGCUUUAUGGUCAUCCUGCCAAAUGCUGCAUCUGGAUUUAACAUCAAACAACUAGGUUACAUUUUUUAUGCAUGGAGUUAUGGUGCAUCCUAUUUCGAGCUUUACAGUGGUUUUUGCACAGGUUGUAUUGUCUUAACAUUUAUAUUUUUCUUUUGAACUUAUCAAUUCAAUUGCUUCUUUUUUCUUGAA